AUUGAUUGUUCAUAAUUAUUUCCCAUUUUUAAACUGUCAAAAUGUCAAGUUGUCGUGUAGUGAGGAAAAAAUGUAAUAAGGAAAAGCAUGAAAAAAAAAAUGUUGAUUCAAGUUCGCCAAGUUCCUUGACAACAGUCGCUGUUUUUAAUAGGUGCUUAUUCUAACGGAAAAAGUUUCACAUACGGUGCGAACAAAAGUAUAUCUAUUUUGAAAAAAUGUGCUUCUGCUCUCAAAAGACAACUGAUAAUAAAAUAACACCAACGUCAAUUGUGAUCAAUGACUUUUAUAAAUGGUAGUAACUAUGGAUGAAUGCUGCAAGACAUAUAAUUAGAUUUAAAUUGGAGUCUUUACUUACAAGACUAGAAGUGGAGUCGAUACUUAAGGAUAUGAUUCGUGUGGUCAAGCGUCAACAGGACAGGAACCACUAACAGUAUCAAGAAGAUGCCGGCGUGAAUACCCACGUGAAUGGCGAAGGAUUGUCAGCAUAUUGAGAGGAGAGUUGCAAGAGUAGCAGGGUGGUGCGAUGUGUUCAUAUUGACGCCGAGAUAAGCGUGGAGCAAAAUGCUACAGCGAACCAUUCUUCUUAAUACGUUUGUUUUUAUUUGCAACGAUAAGAAACUUGCCUAAAGUAAAACAGAUUAACCGACAAAAUAUUUGAACAAAAAAUUCUACUAAAAGCAAAUUUAUUAAAUAAACCAAAAUUGUGAAAAAAGGA